UUUACUGUUAUAUCCAGGAUUAUGCAUGGAUAAAAGCUGGAAUGGUUUUUUCCUUUCACGAAUACAUGGACAGGUGCAUAUGAUUUUGGAUUUUGACAAAUCCUUUCUAUGUUACUGGAAUUGGGAUUUUAAUUGUGUUUGUUGUUCAGAUUUCAGGGGCGGUCUAAGUUGUAUGGCAGCAAACCUAGUGAUUUCCAAAUGGCUAUAGAGGAAGCUAUUUUAGCUGAAAAUGGCUUCACAAAUCCUUCGGUUGAGACUGUGCAGGAAGCUUUACCUGAGACAAAAUCCAGUGAAAUUGAACAGGCGACUGGGUCAAAUCAGAAGUCACAACAUUAUUUCAUUGAGCAGGUGAGUUUUCAUGAAGCUCAAUUUUUAUUGUUAAACAUGAAUAACAUAUAUAUUUAGUUAUGUUUCAAAAUGGUGCUAGUACAAGUUACAAUUCAACUCAUUCGUACUUGUUAUGAUAUUCCAUUGAUUUCUUAGGUUUUUGAGGUUUGUUUUUCAGACCUUACUUUUCAGAACAGAUUUGCAAAAUAUUCUACUUAAUGUCAAAUUGGAUUAGUAUUAGUGUUAAGAAGAAGGUAAUUUACUUUCGGUCGCUACCAUCUUUUCCACUUGACUAAUGGUGCUUGGAAUUUGUACUAAUUAAGUUACUGAUAACCAGAACUUGUAGAUUACAAGCUAAAGAGAUGGUAUCACUUCUUUUAUGCUAAUUUUGUUAUUAUCUACUACUUAUGUAGAUUUCAUUUUUUUACUAUAUUCCUAAAUAUUUGUUUUUCUCACUUUUGGGGCAUGGAGGUCUUGGAAUACAUAGAAUUUGUUAGAACCUUAUGUGCUUUUAAAUGCAUGUUUUCCUCAAGUGGUAUGGAAGGACCAUACUUUCAUAUCGACCAUACUCUAGUCUUUAUGUGGAAACAAUUCGAGAUUUAAGUUACAUGUAUCAGAUUAAAUAUGAACAAAUAUGCCAACUUGUUCAGUUGGUUGAUCUGUAUUUUGCUUAUGAUAAAAAAAAACUUGGAGAUGUUAAAUCAUUAUAUUAUUUGAUUUAUAAAUGUAAUAAACUUGCAAGUACUUAUAUGACUUUUGUAUUGUUGGAUUGUAGAAAUAUUUUUUCAGGAAAAUGAAUUGAAACCGUUUGAUACUUAAUAUUUAUUUUUCACUUAUUUUUAGCCAGGAUAGUUAAUUGAUUAUUAAAUAUUAUUAACUUGUAAAAUAUCUUAAUUGUUUGAGCACCGAAUGUAAUUCCAUAUAUUUUGGCGUAACACGUUCAAAUCAGGGAACAUUUGUGCCAAAAUGAGAGGGGGGGGGGGGAUUUUAAGGCGGGGUCUAAUUAUUUAUCUUGGCAUAAGAGAACAUGUAAAUUAGGCAAAAGUAUAACUAGAUUUUAUUGUAUUUCCAUAAUUACCACGUUUCCAUAUGUGUAUGUACUCUCGUUUUUCUAUAUAAUGGAAUAAGAUGACGGGGAAGAGAAUUAACCUUCUUCUCUCCAAUAUUCUGUCAAUUCUUGUAAACAUCAUGGUACCAGAGCCCGAUGUUCCAGGUGUUCGUGAAAAACCCACAAGCGCACAGGAUCGUUGUACAAAUAAUAAGAUUUGUGAGUUCAAUAGUUGCUAUUAAAUUCAAAGUGUGGUGAUAUCAAGAGAGUUAUGAUUUAUAUGUUCUCUACACUAGUUCUAAACUAAGAAA
rnacentral:lncRNA from 1 species